rnacentral:ncRNA from 4 species
GAAGUCGAAAUCCGCUAAGGAGUGUGU